AGAUGGAGUAAGUUAGAGAGAGAAGUGACCUGUCUGGGUUCACACAGUGAGUUAACAGCAAAGCGUAGACCAAACCUCACCCUGCUUCUUCCAUCCACCACUCAAGUCUGAGAAGAUGACUCCACUGGGAGACUCUCGAGAAAGCCUGUUUCCCGCAGAGUUACCAAAGCCCUGAGGAUGGGUUUGCUGUGGUCCAGCCACGCUCCCAGCAUCUGCGAGGAGGUGAAGAGCGUCAUGCAUAGAAGCAGGAUCUCAGCUCCGCACCAGCCGGCUCUGUGUGUCUGAACAAGCUCGUCUUCCUCUCCAAGCCUCAGUUUCCCCCCCAUGCUCAAUGGGAAGGGGAUCGGACUAGGCGGCCCUGAGGCUGCUGAAGAAUUGACGUUCGGGGGCUCCGAGACUCCGGCUGUGAGCUGCACUUCGCAGCUUGUCCCAGGAGCUCCGAGGGAUUCUCUGGGGGCGUUUAACUGCUUCCAAAUCUACCUACGGGGGAUUCUACUGGCGUCUGGGGAGAUUUCCGGCAGAAAAGCGUAUUUCAAUAGAUGCGGACUCUGGGGGGAGGUUCUCUGGAGACAGAGGAGCCUGGCAGGAUGAAGACAGGAGGAAAUCUCCAGGGCUUCCUGGGUCCUGAAGGCGGCAGAGGGGAAAGUCACGUGAGCGCGUGUCUCUCGUGAGCCUGCCCAGCAGCCUGGACAGUGUUGGAGUAUGGCCUGCGUUGUCUCAGAGCAUCUCUCGAUCCACCAACAAUGCAGCUGUGUGACUUUGGGAAAACCACUAUACCUCUCUGAGCCUCAGCUUCCUCUUGUAUAAAAGGAGCUUUGCUACUGGCAUCUGGUGGGUAGAGGCCAGGGAUGCUGCUAAACGUCCUGUGACACACAGGCCAGGCCCCACCGCAAAGAAUUACGUGUCUCGGAACGUCGAUGGUGCCCGAGUUGAAAAGCCCUGCCUUACCCACGCGCACCUUUGGACGCUCCUACCUGCCCAAAAGGCCCCAAAUUGAGGGCAGUUUUUCUAUUUUACUGGACU
rnacentral:lncRNA from 1 species